rnacentral:rRNA from 1 species
UACGUAGGGUGCAAGCGUUGUCCGGAAUUACUGGGCGUAAAGAGCUCGUAGGCGGCUUGUCGCGUUGUCCGUGAAAAUUUACCGCUCAACGGUGAACUUGCGGGCGAUACGGGCAGGCUAGAGUACUGCAGGGGAGACUGGAAUUCCUGGUGUAGCGGUGAAAUGCGCAGAUAUCAGGAGGAACACCGGUGGCGAAGGCGGGUCUCUGGGCAGUAACUGACGCUGAGGAGCGAAAGCGUGGGGAGCGAACAGG